rnacentral:lncRNA from 1 species
UACACCAGAGACACCCCCAAUCCCUCCCCCAGGACUUCUAGCUGUCUGCGAGUCGGAGAAGAACCCGAUUACAGUCAGGAGACGGGAGCGUUAACCCUCCAGGUGUUUUGUAAAGGAGGACGAAAACAGGCGAGCUGCACGACUCCGCCGAAGUGGAGUGUUUUGUCUGCGGUGCUGCCCGUGUGUUUGGCGUUUUACAAACCAAGGGACUGGCCUCAGCCUCUCGGCCCGGGACGGCCACAUUCGCAAAGUUCGAUCUCUCAAAGCCAGAGCAGUUUGCAAGCUCUUUCCAGUGGCAACCCUGCUGACGUUUGGAUUCGGCUAGGAGAGCGCAGCAGAAUCCCAACCAGCCGCACCGGUCCCGGCGAACCAGAGCGUGUUAAUCUAUUUAUAUGGAUUAUUACAGAGGAACAGCGGGCGUUGAGUCACCAAAACAUUUGCUUCAAAAGACCAUUUCUAAGCACUUUCGGAGGAGGCAGGCUCCAGAAGCAUAAACUGGGCUACGCGUUAAAGAACGACUGCUUUUCGAAUGCUACAAACUCCAGCUAAGUCUCCGGGACCGCGCAGAAAGCAGUGAAAAGAAAUGCUUGGGGGUGGGGGCAGAUCCUAGUCUAGACGCGCGCGCGCGCGCGCGCACACACACACACACACACACACACACACACACACGCACGCAAAAUUCGUGCGGAGACGGCACCAAACUUCUGACAUUACGAGAGUAUGGCAAACUUACACACUUGGACGUCCCGGGUCCCCCGCCUUCCCCGCUGCAACCCCCCCCCCCAACGCCAGACCAGAGGCAGCGCUCCCCUCCCCGCUCCUCCCCUCCCCUCUCGUCACCCAAGCCCACUGCCACAAUCCUCCUCCUCGCAAAAUCCAGUCCAAUCAGCUGCCUGCCAACCCCUGAAAUGCCGUGCUGUGAUUGGCUGGCCGUCUCUAAGGUGAGGAGCAGUAGUUAUUAAAGAGUCCCAGAGCUGCGAGUUGAGGAGCUGAGAGCGGAGGUUGAAACUCACUGGAAACUUGCGCCGCGACUUGCCAGUUUCACCCCAGGAACUUUUCUUUGCAGGAGGAGAAGAAAAGGGGUGCAAGCGCCCCGCUUUUGCUCUCUUUCUUCCCCUCCUUCUUCUCCUCUCCAGUUCGCCUUACCCCACUUGGAGCAGACAGCUGCGGGCUGGCCACCGCGCGCCUUCCCAAGUGCUUGCCGCCGCAGCCGGCUGACGUGCCAGGCUCCCCGGGAGCCGCUCGCUCCGCGUUCGGGCAGCCGAGGGGAGAGGAGCCCGCGCCUCGAGUCCCCGAGCCGCCGCGGCUUCUCGCCUUUCCCUGCCACCCGC